CACAGGUGUUCCACUGCAGGCUGCAUGAGGGCUGCUCCAGGGGUGGCCAAUCUCCAGCUGGUGGGAGAGAGAAGAUCCUACAGCCAAGAGGAGGACUUCAAACUGGGAAGGAGCAGGAAGCUGUGUCUUACUGUCACUAUUGUCCCAGCACCCGGCAUAGUGCCACACACAGGACAGAUGGGUCCUGAAGUCUCCCAGGCCAGUGCUGUCCUGAACUGGAGGAGGCAGUAGAGGGGGAAAGAUUCAAGGAAGCAUAUUGUACUCAUUCAGGAAUUCAGGACUAUGGCUGCUGUGUUGAUUGCACUGAAGAUGGGCUGAGCUAGUCAACUGCUAAGGCUUACAGCGAAGGAGAACCAGUGAGCCCCUGAUGAGUACCUAGCAUGAUGCUGGGAAUAUUAAAGUGUUAACCCCCAGACCCCUGCAUGUCUUCUUCCUGAACAUGAAUCAUAUGGAGGUUGGUCCAUGGUUUCUUCCAUAAGAUCAUGUGUGUUCCAUGGGGCAGGAUUCCACCCAGCUUGCCCAGCUCUACAUUCAGCUGUUGGUAGAGGCUCUGGCACUCAGCAUCAACUGACAUUGAGACACUUCAGCUCAUUCCACCACAACCAGCCAGGUGAGCUCCAAGCCCAAUGGCUAGAGCUGCAAGAGGGCCUGGGGUUGGAAAACGUGUAUGGGGAGAGUGGAAACUCCAGGGAAAAGAAAGGGCUUCUAUAGCCUAAGGCCCUUCUGUUAUAACUAAGUAAGGCCCUGGGUCAUCUCUAACAGCAUCCGUUUGUCAGAAAUGCAGACCCAGACCCAUCUCAGCCUUGCUAAUCUGAACAUGCAUUUUAACAAGAUCCCCAAGUAAUUUGUGUGCACAUGGAAAUAUGAGAAGACUGGUGCUAUGGCCUCAAUGUUUGUGUCCCACACCCCAAAUUCAUGUGUUCAAAUGCUAUCCCCCAAGGUGAUGGUGAGGUCUUUGGGAAGCAUUAGGUCAUGGAGGUAGAGCUCUUAUGAACGGGAUC